rnacentral:rRNA from 1 species
GUCUAUGGCCAUGCUACCCUGAACAAGCCCGAUCCUGUCCGAUCUCGGAAGCUAAGCAGGGGCAGGCCUGGUUAGUACUUGGAUGGGAGACCACCUAGGAAGACCAGGUACUGUAGGUG